AGAUUUUGUUUGUAAUGAAUAAUGUGCUACCACAUAAAUGCAGCAAAUGUUUAUGAAGCUAAGGCAAUAAACAUAAUUUUGAUACAAAAAUGCCAAAUCUCAAGUUAAAUAGUUUAUCUAAAUCUGGCUCUGCUCUGAGGUAUAUUGCUGUGAAGUAAAUCUCAAGACAUGAAAUUGGGAAUGGAGUUUUGGUCUAUAAUAAUCCAAGUACCACAUUUUUUGAUAAGUAUAUUUUUAAAAUGUAUGCAAACACUUAAGAGGAAAAUAACGUUACAUUUUGACGCAGAUAUUUAUAACGAACCAUGUUGACAAUUAGAUAUGAAUUGCAGAAAAGCGCCAUUGUGGAAUGGUUGAUUUUUUGAUCUUAAAAAUAUUUGGAUAAGCAAUGGCAAGAUAUUUUUGAGGAAAGAGAGUAUUUUAAUAUAGUGCAAAGCCAAGGUGGUGUGUGUGUUUUUCCACAGAAAAGAAAAAAGGUUGUUUAACCAGACACACUUGCAUUUGUUUCCCCUAUAAGAAAAGCUACUAAAAAAGAUUCCUUAUCAAAUGGAAAGUCUCCCAUUACUGAGGAAGAAGAAAGUUUUAAAUGUACUGGUAGAAAUGAAAGAGAUGUUAGUAAAGUUCUUUCCAGUAAUUAAAACAAUGUUGCGACAAAUAGUCCUGAUAUUUUAUGGAUAAAUUAGGAGCAGUCUUUUACUGAUUAUGAUGACAGCUUUAGUGAUUUUUGGGGAUUAUGAUAACAGAUUAAACGAGUGAUGCCUGAAGUGGUAGUUUUUAUUGAGCCAUUACUUUUUGUAUUUUUAAACUAUUACAUU